GAUGCUAAUACCGGAUAACAACACUAGACGCAUGUCUAGAGUUUGAAAGAUGGUUCUGCUAUCACUCUUGGAUGGACCUGCGGUGCAUUAGCUAGUUGGUAAGGUAACGGCUUACCAAGGCAAUGAUGCAUAGCCGAGUUGAGAGACUGAUCGGCCACAUUGGGACUGAGACACGGCCCAAACUCCUACGGGAGGCAGCAGUAGGGAAUCUUCCACAAUGGACGAAAGUCUGAUGGAGCAACGCCGCGUGAGUGAAGAAGGGUUUCGGCUCGUAAAGCUCUGUUGGUAGUGAAGAAAGAUAGAGGUAGUAACUGGCCUUUAUUUGACGGUAAUUACUUAGAAAGUCACGGCUAACUACGUGCCGGCAGCCGCGGUAAUACGUAGGUGGCAAGCGUUGUCCGGAUUUAUUGGGCGUAAAGCGAGUGCAGGCGGUUCAAUAAGUCUGAUGUGAAAGCCUUCGGCUCAACCGGAGAAUUGCAUCAGAGACUGUUGAACUUGAGUGCAGAAGAGGAGAGUGGAACUCCAUGUGUAGCGGUGGAAUGCGUAGAUAUAUGGAAGAACACCAGUGGCGAAGGCGGCUCUCUGGUCUGCAACUGACGCUGAGGCUCGAAAGCAUGGGUAGCGAACAGGAUUAGAUACCCUGGUAGUCCAUGCCGUAAACGA
rnacentral:rRNA from 1 species